CCCCACUGCUAUCGGGAUAGGACUAAGACAUGCUAGUCGAGUGACUCAGGCAAAACGAGUCACGGCACACAGCUCAGUAACACGUGGCUAAUCUGCCCUUGGGACAAGAACAACCCCGGGAAACUGGGGCUAACUCUUGAUAGGCGAAGAACACUGGAAUGUGUCUUCACCCAAAAAACUUCACGUUAUCCUCGUGAAGUCGCCCAAGGAUGAGGCCGCGACCGAUCAGGUUGUUGGCGAGGUAAUGGCUCACCAAGCCUUUUACCGGUGCGGGCCGUGGGAGCGGGAGCCCGGAGAUGGGCACUGAGACAAGGACCCAGGCCCUACGGGGCGCAGCAGUCGCGAAAACUUUGCAAUAAGCGAAAGCUUGACAGGGCUAUCCCGAGUGCCAUCCGCUGAGGAAGGCUUUUACCCAGUCUAGAACGCUGGGGGAAUAAGGAGAGGGCAAGUCUGGUGUCAGCCGCCGCGGUAAUACCAGCUCUCCGAGUGGUGUGGAUGUUUAUUGGGCCUAAAGCAUCCGUAGCUGGCUAAGUUAGUCCCUUGUUAAAUCCACCGAAUUAAUCGUUGGAUUGCGGGGGAUACUGCUUGGCUAGGGGACGAGAGAGGCAGACGGUAUUUUCGGGGUAGGGGUGAAAUCCUAUAAUCCCGGGAAGACCACCAGUGGCGAAGGCUGUCUGCUAGAACGCGCCCGACGGUGAGGGAUGAAAGCUGGGGGAGCGAACCGGAUUAGAUACCCGGGUAGUCCCAGCUGUAAACGAUGCAGGCUAGGUGUUUGGACGGCCACGUGCCGUUCUAGUGCCGCAGGGAAGCUGUUAAGCCUGCCGCCUGGGGAGUACGAUCGCAAGAUUGAAACUUAA
rnacentral:rRNA from 1 species